AGAGUUUGAUCCUGGCUCAGGACGAACGCUGGCGGCGUGCUUAACACAUGCAAGUCGAACGGAAAGCGCUCUUCGGAGUGACUCGAGUGGCGAACGGGUGAGUAACACGUGGGUGAUCUGCCCUGCACUUUGGGAUAAGCCUGGGAAACUGGGUCUAAUACCGGAUAGGACUACGAAUCGCAUGGUUUGUGGUGGAAAGCUUUUGCGGUGUGGGAUGGGCCCGCGGCCUAUCAGCUUGUUGGUGGGGUGAUGGCCUACCAAGGCGACGACGGGUAGCCGGCCUGAGAGGGUGUCCGGCCACACUGGGACUGAGAUACGGCCCAGACUCCUACGGGAGGCAGCAGUGGGGAAUAUUGCACAAUGGGCGCAAGCCUGAUGCAGCGACGCCGCGUGAGGGAUGACGGCCUUCGGGUUGUAAACCUCUUUCAACAGGGACGAAGCGCAAGUGACGGUACCUGUAGAAGAAGCACCGGCCAACUACGUGCCAGCAGCCGCGGUA
rnacentral:rRNA from 1 species